rnacentral:rRNA from 1 species
UGCUAGAGCGACGCUGGCGGCACGCCUAACACAUGCAAGUCGAGCGAGAAAGUGACUUCGGUCGCGAGUAAAGCGGCGAACGGGUGAGUACAACGUGGAUAAUCUACCCUAGGGUCUGGGACAACCCCGAGAAAUCGGGACUAAUACCGGAUAAGACCACAGUAUCCGAGGAUACAGUGGUAAAAGAUUUAUCGCCUUUGGAUGAGUCCACGCCCCAUCAGGUAGUUGGUAAGGUAAAAGCUUACCAAGCCUAAGACGGGUAGCCGGCCUUAGCGGGUGAACGGCCACAUGGGGACUGAGACACGGCCCUGACUCCUACGGGAGGCAGCAGUGGGGAAUAUUGGGCAAUGGGCGAAAGCCUGACCCAGCGAUGCCGCGUGAGGGAUGAAGGCCUUCGGGUCGUAAACCUCUGUCAGGAGGGACGAUGGGACACUUGUGUCUUGACGGUACCUCCAGAGGAAGCCCCGGCUAACUCCGUGCCAGCAGCCGCGGUAAUACGGAGGGGGCAAGCGUUGCUCGGAAUUACUGGGCGUAAAGGGUCCGCAGGCUGUCAGGUAAGUUGGUUGUGAAAGCUCAAGGCUUAACCUUGAAAUUGCAUCCAAAACUGCCUGACUAGAGUCCAAGAGAGGUUGGCGGAAUUCCCGGUGUAGCGGUGAAAUGCAUAGAUAUCGGGAGGAACACCAGAGGCGAAGGCGGCCAACUGGCUUGGAACUGACGCUCAGGGACGAAAGCGUGGGUAGCAAACCGGAUUAGAUACCCGGGUAGUCCACGCCCUAAACGAUGGAUGCUAGGUAUGGGGAAUUUAUUUCUCCUUGCCGUAGUUAACGCAUUAAGCAUCCCGCCUGGGGAGUACGGUCGCAAGGCUGAAACUCAAAGGAAUUGGCGGGGGCCCGCACAAGCGGUGGAGCACGUGGUUUAAUUCGAUGUUAAGCGAAAACCUUAC